GGGUUAGGGUUGGGCUUGGAGCUAGGAUUUUUCUGAGUGCACUGAACCAACUCCCGAGUCUCUAGGACAUUCCUAAAAAAAUUUGAUUUUUUCCCAUAGGAAUGCAUGGGUUAGGGUUAGGGUUAGGGUUGGAGCUAGGGUUAGGGUUAGGGUUAGGGUUGGAGUUAGGGUUAGUGUUGGAGCUAGGGUUAGGGUUGGGCUUGGAGCUAGGAUUUUUCUGAGUGCACUGAACCAACUCCCGAGUCUCUAGGACAUUCCUAAAAAAUUUGAUUUUUUUCCCAUAGGAAUGCAUGGGUUAGGGUUAUGGUUAGGGUUAGGGUUGGAGCUAGGGUUAGGGUUAGGGUUAGGGUUGGAGUUAGGGUUAGUGUUGGAGCUAGGGUUAGGGUUGGGCUUGGAGCUAGGAUUUUUCUGAGUGCACUGAACCAACUCCCGAGUCUCUAGGACAUUCCUAAAAAAAUUUGAUUUUUUCCCAUAGGAAUGCAUGGGUUAGGGUUAUGGUUAGGGUUAGGGUUGGAGCUAGGGUUAGGGUUAGGGUUAGGGUUGGAGUUAGGGUUAGUGUUGGAGCUAGGGUUAGGGUUGGGCUUGGAGCUAGGAUUUUUCUGAGUGCAAUGAACCAACUCCCGAG